CUCAGAUGAGCUGCUGUUCAGAUCUGCGAACAUAAAGAACUUUAGCCGACGAAAUUUAUUUUCGUCGGUUAAAGAAUGUUUAAAGUCGUCGGCUAAAGUCACAGACUUUAGCCGACGAAAUAAAUUCUUUAGCCGACGAAAAUAUAAAUUAACCGACGAUGGAAAAUUUCGUCGGCUAAAGUCUGCUUUAGCCGACGAAAAAUUGAUUCGUCGGCCUGGUUUUUUUUUUUUCGUCAGCUAAAGUCUUUCUUCUGGUAGUGUUACUAUAUAUGUAUACAACAAGUAAGUGUAGCGAGAGUGUCCACUUACGCUAUAUCGCCUAGAGGAAGUGCCACACCUCAAAGCAUGUUAGACACUCCUCAGUCCAUACAGCCCCUCCGGAGGUUUAGGGAAUCGAAGCCCAAGGAAGUCACUAUGCCCCUCUCAUAAAACCGGUUACCAUUUUUAUGAUGACCAAUAUGCAUUUAACAUUUUUAUAAAACAAUAAGAUCACUAAUCAAGAGAGUUUCGGGUCCCCUACCUGGAAUCCGAGGCUUUCCUUACAAACUUCGAGACUCACGAGCAUUCUGCUCCUCGGGUAACUAGAGUCCUGAAUUCCGACAUAUUUAUCGUUAAUAACUUUCCCUUUGACUUAACAAAAUAAUCAAUACUUAAUUGUUUGACCACCAAGACUUGACCAACCAUGAUCCUACUUUAUAUUAGGUUUGCCCAAAACUACUAAGGGCACCCAAUCCUUGUUCAUCUAAAUUGAUCCAACAAUUUAAGAUUCACAAUUAUAUUUCCAGACUUUGCUUUCACGUUUACAAACUUCAUUUUCCAAUUCUUCUCUCAUCACAGUAGCUAAUGUCUCAAAAGACUUGCUUUAUGUUCGAUCAACAUGACCAUUCAUAGAUACAACCAUAAUUCAUUUCACUUUUGGUGUGCCUAACUUACUAAGGACACCCCAACACUAAUUUUCUUAUUUUGUCCCAUGAUUCAUUCCCUAUCUCAAUCCCAAAUAUAUCACAGUAUGAUAAACUUAGCUAGUCCAAUACCACCAAGAGAAUUACUCUUCUGUUGGUAUUUGACCAACAAUGCUUAUAUCAUAUAUCAUGAUCCUUCUAUCAUCAAUUUCUUAUACAACUCCAGAACAUUCUGAAUCAAGUCAAGUCAUGUUAAUCAUCUCUCAUAUAAAUAACAAGAUAGCAAUACUUAUAUUUAGCAAUUACCUUCUUAGUAUUUGUCUAACAACGAAGCAUAAUCUUCCUCAAUUGCACUUAUGCAACGAACAGAGGUAUGGUCAUCCACUUUGGCAUCACCUCACUCGCCAAUUCAAAGUUCACAAUUGAACCAGCUUCACAGCUUCUGCACUUCGAGAACAAUUGAAUAUUAAUAUAUAUGGUCUCUUAUUCAAAUCAGGAACGCAAACUAACCCAAGUGAGGCCAAGAUCACCACCAUGAACAGCGGCAGAGCUUUGGCAAAACGUACCGAGUUCUCCCCUUCCAUAGAAUCAAGCUUUUCCAAUGAUCAUUCUACGUUGUAGGAUGACAGAACUCAGAAGCAUAGAGCACUCGUCACCAUCCGUAGCUCCGUCGAAUCCGAAAGCACCAAAAUUCGAAAUUACAAAUCAUCAAAACCAAUAGAAUCCAACUAUACCAGCGUGAAUAUUAGAACGAAGGGGAAAUGAGGUCCUCACCUCAAGCGUUGCCGAAGAACCUAGAAGCACUCAAGCAGCUCCGAAAACAGCCGAAUAGAUGCUACAAAAUUCGCACAUGCAGCUCAAACCGCCACCAGAGUCGCCGAAAACGGUCAAN
rnacentral:lncRNA from 1 species